ACAAGAAGUCUGUAUAUUUCAAAGAACCAUAAAUUAAGGCCCAUUGAUAAUAAAGGAAAAACCACAGGAACCCAUAAUGGAAACCCUAGAUCUCGACCCGAACAUCAUGACCCACAUACUAAACCCAGCACAGCAGCACUGCACACCUAGACCUUUCUUCUCCGGCCACCCCCUUCAUCAAUCUUAGAAACAAAGCUGACUCUCUUAAAAUAGACAAAGCCAUUUAACCACCUAAAAUACAUGGAGUCAACUGAACCAACAUCCAAAGCAAAACAAGUCAUUCAAGAGAGUUGCGGUCGAAGAAAAUGCAUGCAAACCG
rnacentral:lncRNA from 1 species